CUUCCGCCUCCGGGUCGCGGCGGGGCCGGAAGGCGCGGCGGGACGGGGGGACACGAUGGCCUUGCGGUGGUGUUGCCGCUUCGGCUCCUCCCGCCGCGGGGCGCCGCCGCUGGGCUCGCUGCCGCGCCUCCGCCCGCCGGGGAGCGCCCCCCGCGCCGCGAUGUGUCACUUCGCCCAAACAAGUUCAACUUUGUCAUUUCCAAAAAUAUGCAAUAUAUUUUGGCGGUUUCAUCAUACAACUUCAUCCCACUUGUGCAGUUGCAGUAAGACAGUUAGUGAUGAAAAAUACCAAGACCCUUUUCAACUCGGUAGAAAAGACUUGAAGAAUCUCUAUGAAGAUAUUAAAAAGGAAUUACUUGUAUCUACAGCAGAACUUAAGGAAAUGUGUGAAUAUUAUUUUGAUGGGAAAGGAAAGGCCUUUCGACCAAUGAUUGUGGUGCUAAUGGCAAGGGCUUGCAACAUUCACCAUAAUAAUUCCAGGGAGGUGCAGGCAAGCCAGCGCUCUGUGGCCAUAAUUGCAGAGAUGAUCCACACAGCUAGCCUAGUUCAUGAUGAUGUUAUUGAUGAUGCAAAUUCUCGGAGAGGAAAAAUGACAGUCAAUCAAAUCUGGGGAGAGAGGAAGGCUGUUCUAGCAGGUGACUUCAUCCUCUCAGCUGCAUCUGUAGCUUUAGCACGAAUUGGAAACACUACUAUCAUCUCUGUUCUAACUCAGGUGAUUGAAGAUCUGGUGCGUGGUGAAUUCCUCCAGCUGGGUUCCAAGGAAAAUGAGAAUGAGAGAUUUGCUCACUACCUCGAGAAGACUUUUAAGAAGACUGCGAGUCUUAUAGCAAACAGUUGUAAAGCAGUUUCAAUUCUAGGCUGUCCUGAUCCCAAAGUUCAUGAGAUUGCAUACCAGUAUGGAAAAAAUGUUGGCAUAGCUUUUCAGCUCAUAGAUGAUGUGCUGGAUUUUACAUCAUGUGCCAACCAUCUGGGGAAACCAACAGCAGCAGAUCUCAAGCUUGGAUUAGCCACAGGCCCUGUACUGUUUGCUUGUCGACAGGUCACUCCCCCCCCUUGCCUCAUUUAUAUCUUUUGAUGGAUGUGAAGCAUACAUUUUUUCAUUGAAAGAUAACAUGACCAUCUUGCAAAGUUUUCCGCAUUAACCAGAAGGCGGCUUUGCUGAAAAUGUCCUGCUGCUUUCAAGGAACUGGAAGAACAGUACUACAGACUUAAGUGAUAGAUAAACAAAGUAUAAGCACUAAGAAAAGUGGGAGCUUCAACAGAUGCUUAACUAUGCUGCUACUAAAAGGUGUUUCAUCUAUUUGUAUCCAAGAAUAAAAAUUCCUGAGCUAGGGCUUGAAGACAGUCCAAAAUGGAAUUGUUAGUUAUUGGCUGUCUCUUCUCUUCAAAUUAGUACUACUGCUGUCCAGCACACCCUUUGAUGGACCUGGUAAUCCUCAUGCUGCCUUCUUGACAAACGUACUUGAGUUCUAAAUGUGUUCUGGGUCUUCAGUCACAGCCACAUUUUCUUCUUGUCCUCUUUCCUCCAGCUGAAAUAAUACCUUUAUGCAUCAGAAUAUUAAGGAGAGGGCUUUAUACAAAAAACGUUGAGCUGCGUGUGAGACCAAUUUGUUCAGUAUUUAGUUAGUUCAUUCAGUGAAAAAAAAACAAACAACCCGAUUAUUUUUUCAAAGAAAUACAGUAGUAUACACUCCAUGGCUAAAGCCACUCCUAAACUAAUAUAGUGGAAGAAUGAGGGUUUCUUUUUAUAAUAAGCACUCCUGUCAGAUGCUUACAUGCCGCCCAUUAAAUCUGCAGAACUGCUAAUAACAGCCUUGCAUUACAGGUUUGGGGAUUUUUAUAUUCUUCAGUACUUAAAUACAAAAAGUGAAAACAUAUACAUCCUAUAUAAUUGUAAAUAUGAAUAAUACGAAAAUGGAUUAUAUAAAAAUUGCAAUUAAAUUGUCAUUACAUGGGAAGAAAGUUAAAAUCUAAAGAAAGCCAAGUAUGAGUCACCAAUAAACUUCUAAAUGUAUCUUCCAAAACGACUACCUAUGAGUAAUAGGGAGAUGUCACAACAAUGAGGGAUGCUUCUUUUUGUUCCCCAACAAGUUUGCAGAAUAACAGUUUCAGGACCAAAGGCGUGCAAGCAAAACAGAUCUGUGUUUAGAAGUGUAUGGAAAUAAAGUAAUCUUGUUUUGACUAUAACCCUUCCAGACAAGGAGAACAAACACCCAUUUCCUUUAAAAAUAAUUCCUUUGCAGAGUAGCUGCUUUGAGUUGUGGCUUUUGUUCGUUUGUUAUGACUGUCUGAAGAAAGCACCUGCAUGUUUGGAUGAGUGAUGCAGCAUAACUGACCGGUUAUCUACCUGCUUUGUAGGGAAUCAAGUGUGCGGUACUAACUACAAAUCCUAUGUGAUUGAAAACGAAAUUCAUUGUAGUUGUCAUUUUUCUCUUAUAAUGAGCUUUCCAUAGACCGAGCCUGUGUGUAUAAAAUAACCAAGUGAUGGGCAGUGUAAGUGGAUGUAACAAAGGUAUCAUGAAGGGUUUUACGUGUUGAACUGUGCUAUAUAGAUAACAGUAAGUCUCCUGGGUUCUCUGUCAAACUUUUGGGGGAAGAAGUGCUGCUUCUAGGUGGCCCAGCAGUAACCAUCACUUGUGAUGUAAGAACACCUGAACCAGAUUCUACACCGGAAAGCAGCCACAUCAGAAAUUACCACACUGCAUUAUCCACCUAACAUGAUGGAAUGGUAGGUGCUAACCUUUGCUACCAGCUGGCUACAGCCAACAGCGCCGGCCACUUUAAGUUUUAAUGCUCAGGCUCUGCUAGACUGCCAGUCCUAUGCAGAUCACACGUUUAAACCUGUAGCAACAGCAGGGGCAUGGAAAAGAGGUCUGGGCUUGGGGUUCUUUUUGACCUUAAGAUGGUAGGCGGCUACAUGGAAAAUUCCUCAUAAGCAGUACAAAAACUUCUGCCUUUCUGCUUAGUUUCCAGAAAUGAAUGCUAUGAUAAUGAGACGAUUCAGUAAGCCAGGAGAUGUUGAACGUGCUCGGAAAUAUGUGUUGCAGAGUGAUGGUGUGCAGCAAACUACCUACCUCGCCCAGCGCUACUGCCAUGAAGCUACACGAGAGAUCAG